CAGCCGCCGCGGGAAUACAGAGGGUGCGAGCGUUAAUCGGAUUUACUGGGCGUAAAGCGUGCGUAGGCGGCUUUUUAAGUCGGAUGUGAAAUCCCUGAGCUUAACUUAGGAAUUGCAUUCGAUACUGGGAAGCUAGAGUAUGGGAGAGGAUGGUAGAAUUCCAGGUGUAGCUGUGAAAUGCGUAGAGAUCUGGAGGAAUACCGAUGGCGAAGGCAGCCAUCUGGCCUAAUACUGACGCUGAGGUACGAAAGCAUGGGGAGCAAACAGGAUUAGAUACCCGCGUAGUCCCUGUCUCUUAUAA
rnacentral:rRNA from 1 species